rnacentral:rRNA from 1 species
GUCCGGAUUGGAGUCUGCAACUCGACUCCAUGAAGUCGGAAUCGCUAGUAAUCGUAGAUCAGAAUGCUACGGUGAAUACGUUCCCGGGCCUUGUACACACCGCCCGUCACACCAUGGGAGUGGGUUGCAAAAGAAGUAGGUAGCUUAACCUUCGGGAGGGCGCUUACCACUUUGUGAUUCAUGACUGGGGUGAAGUCGUAACAAGGUAACCGUAGGGGAACCUGCGGUUGGAUCACCUCCUUA